rnacentral:rRNA from 1 species
UACGAAGGGGGGCUAGCGUUGCUCGGAAUCACUGGGCGUAAAGGGUGCGUAGGCGGGUCUUUAAGUCAGGGGUGAAAUCCUGGAGCUCAACUCCAGAACUGCCUUUGAUACUGAAGAUCUUGAGUUCGGGAGGAGGUGAGUGGAACUGCGAGUGUAGAGGUGAAAUUCGUAGAUAUUCGCAAGAACACCAGUGGCGAAGGCGGCUCACUGGCCCGAUACUGACGCUGAGGCACGAAAGCGUGGGGAGCAAACAGG